CCACUCCUACCUUCAAUUUAUUUGAAUUUUUCUUGAUUGAUUUUUUUUUGUUGGAAGUGGAUUGUGUAACAUAUUCAGUCUUGGUUGAGCAAUGAAAACUGGCCAGAUGUUCUUGCCCUUUUUUAUUUCUUUUUAGCCACUUCUCGCAUCCAGUUUACAAUGGGAUCCAAACACACAUACAGCUCCCGAAAAAAGCAUGCUCCAAUCUGUCUCAACACAAUUAAAUCAUAAAUUAGAAAAUGGUUGAAUCCCGAAAGAACACCCAGAAAUCCGUCUCAUUUUAAGCAGAACAGCGAUCAGAAAUAACGUUCAAAUAUUUACCUAUCAUCGAGACAUCAAAUAGACACUUUUCAAUUCAUUGAUGAGGAGACCACCUCGAACCCAAGGACAAAAUAAACCCAAUAUUAUAUUCAGAAAUCUUAUUAGGAUGGACAAAAAGAAAGAAAUAAGAGAUAGACAGAAUCAACAUAGUUCAACUGACUGCACCAAGAGUCUAUUUUAUCCAGGAUUUAACGACCUAAAAAUCAUUGAAAUAAAACAGGAAAAAUAAGUGAAAAGCCGCAAUUUUAUUAAAAAGGAAGUUUAAAGAGAGAUCUACAAAAGCAUCAAAAGGACUAAAUCGUGAUGACCAGGAUACCGUGCCUCAACCAAACUCUGGUCAACAGUAAUUCAACAAUCUCGAUUUGAAACACCACACAGUUUGGAAGUUGCUAAAAAUCGACGCAGAAGACAAAAGUAAAAAGGAUCAACCCCGCGUUGCAGAAAAUAUAUGAAGACGGCUCAUCCUUGAAAGCCUGUCACAUAGCCCGAAAAAUCCCCUAUUUGGAAGUCCAUACAGCUCCUAAGCAUAACUAGAUUGAAAGGAAAUUCAAGAGAAUAUUUCCAGUCAGUAUGAUAACAGGCAAGAUCCCCUGUAUCAAAUAGUAUUGCAAAAUUCAUUUUCCAAUAAGAGAACAUAUUCAAUAAGUUGGAGAAGUAACAGGGAUGUGUGCCCAGAGAUUACAGAGCACGCACAAUUUUUAGAACCACGAGACGAUGGGGGCGGACCACUAAC
rnacentral:lncRNA from 1 species